rnacentral:rRNA from 1 species
UACAGAGGUCUCAAGCGUUGUUCGGAUUCAUUGGGCGUAAAGGGCGCGUAGGCGGCUUGUACAGUCAGACGUGAAAUUCCUGGGCUCAACCUGGGGGCUGCGUUUGGAUACGUGCGGGCUUGAGUUCGGAAGAGGGUCGUGGAAUUCCCAGUGUAGAGGUGAAAUUCGUAGAUAUCUGGAGGAACACCGGUGGCGAAGGCGGCAUCCUGGACCGGCAUUGACGCUAGAGGAGCGA